GGAGACGUACUCAAGUGGUUAAGAGGACACCCUGCUAAGGUGUUAGAGGCUCUGCUGGCAUGCGUUCGAAUCGCAUCGUCUCCGCCA
rnacentral:tRNA from 1 species